AAUAAGUGAAAUUGAAAAUACUCAACAAUCCACAGUUCCAAUGCUGCAGAGUACUAUCUCAUGUCACUACUCACCAUCAUCAUCCUCUCACUGGCCACUACUGCUGCCGGUGCGGUGCGGGGCAGUGCAGACAGAAGAAAGAAAUUAAAUUCAAAGAGGCUGAUGAUAGACAAAAACAACCAGCAAUACUAGUAGUAGUUUCCAUUUCCUUAAUCCAAAGCCAAUCGUUUCGGAAAAGCAGAAACCCCAGCAUCGACGCCAUUCAAACAAUACAAGCCUUCAAAAAUAAAACGAGCUUACUUACAAAAACGACAAGUCGCUGCUUGAUCAAGCCUUCCGUUCUAAAUCCAACCGAUUGUUGAAGUUCCUUUUGACUGCCGUUCGUCGCCAACUCCUCCGCCAGAACCACUGCCUUUUGGCUCUCAAGGUCAAAUAUCAUUCAUUAUUUAUUUUUGAAACCCAAUCACAGAGGAGUACUGGUACAAACCACAAGUGGUGUUUUAUGAUGAGAUGAUUAAAGUAAUGUCUAGCAAUGGAUUUAUUGACGAGGUCCGGCUUCUUUUUUUUAGGUAUUUGGAGACUGAAAUUAGCGGUGAUGACUCUGAUUAGUUUUAAGCUGAGUGGACUUGCUAUGAAGUGCCUAUUUGUAUUCGAAGUGUGAUAUAAAUUGAUUUUCAAAAUGUUUUUUAUUUUGAAAUGUAAAAAAAUAGUUUUUUUUUUUUAAUUUUUGUUUUAAUAUUAACAUCAAUUCAAAAAUUAAAAAAAAAAUUUAAAACUAGAAAAAAAAUCCAAUAUACAAAGUCUGUUGUAAUAGGAUGUGAACCUAACAGGUCUACAUUUAAAUUACUCGUGAGUGGUUUAGAAUACAUUGGCGAAUCUGUUACUGUCAGGCAGGAUGCUUACAAGUAUUACGGUGAUUCCCUCAAUUACGACGGGGGAAGAGAUAGCAAGUUGAGUUACUUAAAGUAAGAUAUAGAUCAAAAUCCCAGCUUUUGAAUUGGUUAGUUCACCAUCACUUGGCAGUAAGGGUACCUUGUGAAGAACAACCUGGAAUGUGUGUUCAACUUCAUGUUGCUGACAGAGAAAUCAUACAUGGCCUUUUGGUUCUGCAAUGCCAACAUGAAUCAAAGUAAAUCAUCUCAAAGUACAGCCUAGUUCAUGAAGCAAGGAUUGCCUGGUUAAAAACUCACGUAAAUGCUGCCUCUGACAUGUCGAAGUGUUCUUUCGGGAAAUUACACCAGCCACCAUAAUCCGCCGAAAGCCCGUAAUUUGGAGGACAGAAAUCUGUUGCAGUGAGAAUGACCGAGGGGCUACCCUGCAGGCACCAUAAGAUGUGGUCGACACAUCUGACCUCGAAGCAAGCCCCACAGGUACUCCCUCUGUUGAACAGCAUGCUACUUAGUCCAGCACUGUACUUUCCAUAGGUGGCCUUGUGAAGGUCCGCAUACCCACAAGCACCUUCUGCAACAUUAAACAAUGGCAGUUUAAUCUUUACAAUCCAAACUGAAACUUUUUUUUGUGGAAUAUGAAACACCAUUACGAGUUGAAGAAACAGAAUGUUUCACCCUUACUGGGACCAGUUGGUAGAGAAUUACCUACAACGAUCGAUCCAUUUGUUUCCUUAACGUAUGUUGCAGUGGCAGACUUCCAUUCCUCAUCAUCAGCGGUGAUCUUCCAUGUCUGGUGUAUAAUCAAGUAGAGAAGCAUGGCUUUAAGAGCACCCAUUUGAUAAGCAACGACUAUGAGAAUUCUGAUUUGUACUUGAUGAGAUUCUUUUCUUCUUGUUUUUUCCCUUUCUUCUCUUCUCUGUGAAAUUAUGGUCUUGAGUGAAGAGAAAGACCACCCUUUUCUUCGGGAAAUGACCCGAAUCUCCUUGCUGAAAUGAAGAUAGCUUUGUUGGUUA